rnacentral:rRNA from 1 species
GGGGAAUAUUGGACAAUGGGCGCAAGCCUGAUCCAGCCAUGCCGCGUGAGUGAUGAAGGCCUUAGGGUUGUAAAGCUCUUUCAGUGGGGAAGAUAAUGACGGUACCCACAGAAGAAGCCCCGGCUAACUUCGUGCCAGCAGCCGCGGUAAUACGAAGGGGGCUAGCGUUGUUCGGAUUUACUGGGCGUAAAGCGCACGUAGGCGGAUUGGUCAGUUAGGGGUGAAAUCCCGGAGCUCAACUCCGGAACUGCCUUUAAUACUGCCAGUCUAGAGACCGAGAGAGGUGAGUGGAACUCCUAGUGUAGAGGUGGAAUUCGUAGAUAUUAGGAAGAACACCAGUGGCGAAGGCGGCUCACUGGCUCGGUACUGACGCUGAGGUGCGAAAGCGUGGGGAGCAAAC